UGCCCCACUCCCCUUCCCCACUCUCUCCAGUUGGAAAACUUGGUCUUAACUCGCGAGAUCCAAGUUACUAUUAAACGAGUCGAGGUGAAAAGGGAUAAUGUGUCCGGAAUAAAUUGGGCGGAAAACGCGAGGAGAGUAAAAAUGGCCGACAAUUUAUUCUGUUUGGCGGUGUGGUGAAGUGAUUCGGCCUCGAUCAAAAAGUUUCACCGACUUACGCAUGAAUAUGCGAUUAUUCAAACGACGACGCCUAGCCGCAUAUUUCGCCCAUUUGCAUGCGUCUCAUCGGAAACAGUGACGUUUGUCUCGUAUUUAUCCGACUGGAUUUCAAAUUCGAGCGAUAAUAAUGUCUGAUAAGCCGGCUUGGAUGGAAAAAGCGACGAUCCUGAUUGUUGGGAAAAAUCGAGUGAAGAAAAUGUGACGCAAUCUUUUCAACAUUGAUUGAUUGAAUAUUUACGUGGUAAUUAAUAGCAUUGAAUAUAUUUAUAAAUUAAAUAUUUCAAUAGUAUCGGUGUAAUAAUACUUUGGAAAUUAUAUUCGAGGUUAAUUUCAUCACAAGUUUCGAAAAUUGACACACUGAUCUGACAACUGAAUAACCGAGCUAUUCAUUUCUUUGUUACCUUCCUUACCUACAAAUAUUCAACUAUUCUUUUUCUGCAAAAUACAUAAAAUGUUGGAAUAAAUAAUAGCUUUAUCGUAAUGAUACGAAGAUUGGAAAAGAGUGGAAAAGUCGAUGAUCGAGAUGGAUGACAAAACCAGGAUAACCAAACGAAAGACCAUAUUAACGAAUGAUAAAGUUGUAAUAUAAAUAUAAAUGUAUAUGUACGUUAUAAAUUCAAUACAAAAUGAUAAACAAAAUGAUGAGUUUUAUUAAGAGGAAAAUAAUUUCGGUCAGAAGAAGCUAAAAAUCGCUUGAGCUGAAAUAUUGCUGUUCGAUGGAUUCGUAAUUUAACUGUUGCAUUGCAACACUCUACGGUCUUAAUUACGAGCAGCUUAAUAAACCGAGGAUCGAUUCGGAUGAAGGAGGAUUUCGAGGGGAAAAAAUGGAG